rnacentral:rRNA from 1 species
GGGGGCAACCCUGACCGAKCAACGCCGCGUGAGUGAAGANGGUUUUCGGAUCGUAAAGCUCUGUUGUAAGUCAAGAACGAGUGUGAGAGUGGAAAGUUCACACUGUGACGGUAGCUUACCAGAAAGGGACGGCUAACUCCGUGCCAGCAGCCGCGGUAAUACGGAGGGUGCAAGCGUUAAUCGGAAUUACUGGGCGUAAAGCGCACGCAGGCGGUUUGUUAAGUCAGAUGUGAAAUCCCCGGGCUCAACCUGGGAACUGCAUCUGAUACUGGCAAGCUUGAGUCUCGUAGAGGGGGGUAGAAUUCCAGGUGUAGCGGUGAAAUGCGUAGAGAUCUGGAGGAAUACC